rnacentral:rRNA from 1 species
UACGGAGGGGGCUAGCGUUGUUCGGAAUUACUGGGCGUAAAGCGUACGUAGGCGGUGAUUCAAGUCAGAGGUGAAAGCCUGGAGCUCAACUCCAGAAUUGCCUUUGAAACUAGAUCGCUUGAACGUCGGAGAGGUGAGUGGAAUUCCGAGUGUAGAGGUGAAAUUCGUAGAUAUUCGGAAGAACACCAGUGGCGAAGGCGGCUCACUGGACGACUGUUGACGCUGAGGUACGAAAGCGUGGGGAGCAAACAGG